GACGGAGGAUGCAAGUGUUAUCCGGAAUCACUGGGCGUAAAGCGUCUGUAGGUGGUCAAAUAAGUCAACUGUUAAAUCUUGAGGCUCAACCUCAAAAUCGCAGUCGAAACUAUUAGACUAGAGUAUAGUAGGGGUAAAGGGAAUUUCCAGUGGAGCGGUGAAAUGCGUAGAGAUUGGAAAGAACACCGAUGGCGAAGGCAGCCCCCCUGGGUCAAGAUUGACGCUCAUGCACGAAAGCGUGGGGAGCAAACAGG
rnacentral:rRNA from 1 species